UACGUAGGGUCCGAGCGUUUGUCCCGGAAUUAUUGGGCGUAAAGAGCUCGUAGGCGGUUUGUCGCGUCUGCCGUGAAAGUCCGGGGCUCAACUCCGGAUCUGCGGUGGGUACGGGCAGACUAGAGUGAUGUAGGGGAGACUGGAAUUCCUGGUGUAGCGGUGAAAUGCGCAGAUAUCAGGAGGAACACCGAUGGCGAAGGC
rnacentral:rRNA from 1 species